GCUCUUUCUCUUUCAUAGGUGUGUGUUUUACCUGAGAAGUAGAAUGGAAAUGCUUGAAUGUUCCUAUGUUAAAGAAAUGAAAACUAGAGAAGACCACUGUCUGCAGUGUCCUCUCCACGAAACCGAACGACGAAGGGACCUGAACGGCAGAGGAAAUGGAACUUGACCAAAUGUGAGGCCUGGGUCUUUGGAAGAUGCUGGCCUUAAUGGAAACUGAUCCCUUAACAGUCAUUCUAGGUGACUGAGAACCAGGAUUGCUGAAACGUUAGCAUGGUCGUCUGCAGCGCUUGCCAACACUUGGUAAUGAUUUGCUAGAGCCAGAGCUUUGAAGCGACUCUUCGGAAGAGGAUGUUUAGCGUGACAGGUACACCCUCCAUGUAGCUUGCUUGACAUGGCUCUGUGACGGUUAUCCUGGGAUAACGUGACCUGCUGCUGUUGAUGUUGCUGCAGGAGCCCGUGUUGAAUUCUUGAGUGCAACUUUCUCCCAGCCAAUGGCUUCCCUGUUUCCAAUAGGUUGAGGCUUUUGUUCAGUUUUUUUUACAGAAUAUUAAUUGAGCAUUUAAUUGUCUCUUUGUAACAUUUAUGUACCGCUCUCAAAUGGUAACUGUUGAUCGAGUUUGCAACUUGUACAAAAUAAACUUGAUGUUGCCUAAAAGAUUGUGGUCC